rnacentral:tRNA from 1 species
AUUUAUGUAGUUUAAUGAAAACAUUACAUUUUCACUGUAAAAAUAAAGUGAACUUUCUUAAAUA